rnacentral:misc_RNA from 1 species
CGAAAAUGAAAAAUGCAUCAAAAUAAUAAGAGCAGUGAAUGAGCGGAGACCGGGACAUGGCCGCCCCUGGAAAGUGCUUGCUGGUCACUGGCCCUCCUGGUGUGGGUAAAACCACUCUAAUUAUGCGAGUUCUUGAGAGCCUCAAAACCUCUAACCCAAACUUGAAGAUUCAGGGUUUCUACACUCGUGAGAUUAGGGAAGAAAGUGAAAGGGUUGGCUUCGAAGUUGUCACUUUGGACGGUCGAAAAGCUCCGCUCGCCUCAACCACCGUUUCUACCCCAGAGUCUUUCAGAUGGCCUACUGUUGGGAAAUAUAAAGUUGACUUAGCAUCAUUUGAGUCAUUGGCAUUACCUGAGUUGCAGGUCAAAGAAGAUGCUGAUCUCUUCAUCAUUGAUGAAGUUGGAAAAAUGGAGUUGUAUAGUUCAUCAUUCUUCCCUGCUGUUCUAAAAGUUCUAGAGUCAAAUGUCCCAGUUUUGGCUUCUAUCCCGAUUCCAAAAUUUGGGCGUGAUAUACCUGGAGUUGCAAGGUUGAGGAACCAUCCAGGGGCUACCAUUUUCACCUUAAGCCCAAAUAACAGGGAUGCUGUUAAAGAACUGAUCUAUAAGCAGUUGGUAGAUUCACUGCAGAAGCAUUAGAUGCUGCAUCCAUUGUGAAACUUGAAAGUCUAGUUGGAAGGGCUUGUGGAACAAAUAUCUUCAAGGUGUUCUUCUGAUGGGAUAACUUUUCUUGUUUACUUUGAUCUUGUCAUCUCAUGUUGUUACAACCUUGCUGAAGUGGAUGAAGAGUUCAAAUUAUAUUAUUUUUCAAGUGUUUUGGCAUAACUAUUCACAAAAAGAGACCAUAAAUCUCUCCCUCUGUCUCUCUUUCUAUGUAUACAUGCUUGCUAUAAUGUAGUUUCACUGGGUAAUUCUGGCUUGAGUGAGUGAUUCCUUCAACUGAACAUUCAAUGAAUGAGGAUGGAAGCAGGAUGAUAUAUGGCAAAGAUAAUUGGAAGGUAAAUUGAAGGAAGAUGCAAAUUUAGCUUGUCUAUAUAUGCUUUACCAUGAUAUUAUUUUAGAAAUUUCCUUUCGCUUUCCUAAUAUGCUAUUGUGCCCCAAAACAUUUGUGUGAUAAUGGUUACCCUUGAAUUGAAUUUUAGAGAGGUUUAAUAUUAUUGCAAGUCCUAUGAAAGCUUUUAACGGAAGCUGUAGAUAGGG